GUCCACGCCGUAAACGAUGCAUACAAGUUGUAGCUGGGAUUGACUCCGGCUGUGACGAAGCUAACGCAAGUAGUAUGCCGCCUGGGGAGUACGGUCGCAAGACUAAAACUCAAAGGAAUUGACGGGGGCCCGCACAAGCGGUGGAUUAUGUGGUUCAAUUCGAAGCAACGCGAAAAACCUUACCUGGAUUUGACAUGUCACGACAACUGAAGAAAUUCAGCUUUCUCGCAAGAGACGUGAACACAGGUGCUGCAUGGCUGUCGU
rnacentral:rRNA from 1 species